AUGGUGAACACAAAACUGGAUAAAGCUGCUCCAAAUCUACAAGCAGCAGCGCCGAGAUGGAGGCCACCGCCGGAGGGCUGGGCCAAAAUUUAUGUUGAUGGUGGUACAAACAAGAUAGGAUCAAAGGGAGCAGCUGCCGUCAUAUGCAGGAAUGAUACAGGGAAGUACCUGGGGUCUUCAGCGAGGGUAUUGAACAAUUGCACCGACCCAGCAACUCUUGAAGCAAUAGCAUGCUGUGAAGCGCUGACUUUGGCGGAGGAUUUAAACAUUCAGAAAGUUAUUAUCGCAUGUGAUGCUUCCACAGUUAUCAAGAACAUCAAUGAAGGUAGAGCAACAAACAUAGAAGCUCACAAUCUUGUGAAAAGUGUUUUAUCACUCGAACAUGGUCGAUUCCUAUGGCUACUCCAGCCAUGGGAUCCCUCUAUUGUACUUCCUGUUAUAGAGCAAUAA
rnacentral:rRNA from 1 species